rnacentral:sRNA from 1 species
UAUUUUUUGUUUCCUAAAUAAGAUGUUGUUAGGUAAAAAUCAUGUAUUUAUUAAAAGACGUUGGAAGCCAACAAUUUGUUAAAUGUGAAUUGAUACAUAGAAAGCUGAAAUACUAAGAGAGAUAAACUCGGUAUAAUUGAUGAUAUAUAAUCGAAACUACAUUUAAACCAGAGAGUACAGAAAGAGCAGCUUGAAGCAAGUGGCAAUGCUAGAAGGGCAUUCCACUAUCACGGAACUAUUACCCCAAGGCACACCUUGUCGCAGUUGCUUACUUUCUUCGACUAUUCUGUACCUCUCUCGAUUAAAGACAUUCGGGAGGAGCUAUUCAACUAUUAUCAGCUAUUGAGUCUCUGAGUGGAUUUCCUCUCAUCCUCAUAGAUCUCUCAGUUGUUAAACCUGCCAUCGAUAAUCUCUACUAAGUUUAUAUGAUUUUGGUAGUAGUCACUCUUUCAAGAGAACAUUAAAGAAAGAAUCUUAAACCACUUUUUGUCAAAUAAAAAGAAAAGAAUGUUGGACCACAAGUUAC